CCUACGGGUGGCAGCAGUGGGGGAUAUUGCACAAUGGGGGGAACUCUGAUGCAGCGACGCCGCGUGGGUGAAGAAGCGCCUCGGCGCGUAAAGCUCUGUUAGCAGGGAAGAAAAUGACGGUACCUGAAGAAGAAGCCCCGGCUAACUACGUGCCAGCAGCCACGGUAAUACGGAGGGGGCAAGCGUUAUCCGGAUUUACUGGGUGUAAAGGGGGCGCAGGCGGCGAUGCAAGUCAGGAGUGAAAGGCCGGGGCCCAACCCCGGGACUGCUAUUGGAACUGCGUGGCUGGAGUGCAGGAGGGGCAGGCGGAAUGCCUGGUGUAGCGGUGAAAUGCGUAGAGAUCAGGAGGAACACCGGUGGCGAAGGCGGCCUGCUGGACUACAACUGACGUUGAGGCCCGAAAGCGUGGGGAGCAAACAGGAUUAGAUACCCGGGUAGUC
rnacentral:rRNA from 1 species